rnacentral:rRNA from 1 species
UACGUAGGGGGCAAGCGUUUGUCCGGAUUUAUUGGGCGUAAAGAGCGUGUAGGCGGCCAUACAGGUCCGUUGUGAAAACUGGAGGCUUAACCUCCAGACGUCGAUGGAAACCGUAUGGCUAGAGUCCGGAAGAGGAGAGUGGAAUUCCUGGUGUAGCGGUGAAAUGCGCAGAUAUCAGGAAGAACACCCGUGGCGAAGGCGGCUCUCUGGGACGGUACUGACGCUGAGACGCGAAAGCGUGGGGAGCGAACAGG